GGGAAACAGUGAGGUUGAUGCAUUUGCCCAAGAUCACACAGCUCUUGGGGAGUGGAGCCUGACUUUGAAUUUAGGCCGCCCGCCCCCAGAGCCUGUGUUCUUGGCCAUCCUUCUUCGCACCUGGCUUAGAGACCCAGGCUCUGCAUAGAGGGGCCCAGUGAUCUUGGGUUAGUCCCUUAAGCCCCAGCCUAGCAAAAGGGAAAGGAAAUAUCUUCAGCACCCAGUGAGGGGGAGCUCAGAGAGGGGACCCCUUUUACUACAGGGCACACAGCCGGCUGAGCCAGGACCCACCACACUCAACUCCCCGGCCCCUGGCUCCCAGGAGGUGGCUCCUCCAUGGCCGGGAAGGACCCCCACGGCUGCUCCCGCAGGCAGAUGGACAGACGAUGGCCCCCUCCCACGGCCUGCGGGCUGUGUGGCAUCGCCACCUCCUCCCGAGCAGGCUGCCUUUAAGAAACCAGAAGAUUGAUUUCCUGGCAGGCUCUACGCCGAGGAGCCCGUCCAAAUGGUUUGCAUGUCUGCAUUUUUUACUGCUCCGUUUAAUAUGUAUGCAAAUGCCGGCCGGCUGCGCCCGCCGCGCGGCUGCACAGUCACACGCGGCGCCCCAUUAAAGCGGCCGUCCCGGGCGCGCGCCUCAUUCGAGGCGACGGGCUCCGGGCCCUGAUAGAUGGGGUGCGGGGACGGAGACAAAUGACGGCCUUUGGGCUCGGAAUACCCACCUUUCUGGUAAUGCAGCCCAGCGGGUCCCAGCCUCGUUUUCCAGCCCUCACUCAAAAUGGAGUCGCUCUGGUUCGAACGCCUCUGACAAGUGUGUACCUACGUGUCAGGGAGCCUGCUCACAUGACCGUGUGGAGAAAGUUCUUUCCCUGAGGACCAUCUGGAGUGGACGCGUGCACUACCCCUCUCUGAAUACACCCUCCCCACGAGGCCCUCUGGAGCAUCCUGUAGAGCCAGCCCCUACCCAGAGACCCUGAGCCCAGAGAAUGCGCUGGGUGGUGAGCCUGGGGACGAAUGCAGAGCCCUAGGUCUCCUCUCCAGAAAGACCGGAUUUUGCCAUGUUGGCCAGGCUGGUCUUGAACUCCUGACCUCAAGUGAUCCACCUGCCUCGGCCUCCCAAAGUGCAGGGAUUACAGGUGUGAGCCACUGCACCCGGCCUCAGGCAGGUAUUUUUACCAGCCGAAUACUCUUGCACUGUGCACUCUUCGUGUUCAUCAUCAGUCCCCCGGAUGGGUGUUUAAGGCAUUUCCAAAGCUCUGUUAUUAAAAACACGAUGCAAUGAGUUUCUUUCAGCAUUUCCCCUUGUUGCCGUGUGAAUGCGUCCGUGGUAUAACUUCCUAAAAGUGGAAUCGCUUGGUCAAAGGGUGGGUGCAUUUAGCAACCUGAUGGCUUUCCAGGAGACAAGUGCUGCCUCCCGGCCACGAGCUUUUAAGAAGAACUGUUGAUGGAACCCGAGCUGGAGUCCCAGGGACCGGGGCGAGUUCUCCAUCCCAGGGGAUUUUCAGAUGGGACACUGGGGAGAAGCUGCCCUGCCCAUCUGAACUCUAUGAUCCCAGUACUAACACUGGUAGCUGUGCCAUCCCCAGUAUAGAGACAGCACCGUGCUCUUGGGAGGGUGAGUCAUUGGCCCCCG
rnacentral:lncRNA from 1 species